CAGUCGCCGCGGGAAUACGGAGGGUGCAAGCGUUAAUCGGAAUUACUGGGCGUAAAGCGUGCGUAGGCGGUUCGUUAAGUCUGUUGUGAAAGCCCCGGGCUCAACCUGGGAAUGGCAAUGGAUACUGGCGAGCUAGAGUGUGUCAGAGGAUGGUGGAAUUCCCGGUGUAGCGGUGAAAUGCGUAGAGAUCGGGAGGAACAUCAGUGGCGAAGGCGGCCAUCUGGGACAACACUGACGCUGAGGCACGAAAGCGUGGGGAGCAAACAGGAUUAGAUACCCCGGUAGUCCCUGUCUCUUAUAC
rnacentral:rRNA from 1 species